GACGAACGCUGGCGGCGUGCUUAACACAUGCAAGUCGAACGGAAAGGCCCUGCUUUUGUGGGGUGCUCGAGUGGCGAACGGGUGAGUAACACGUGAGUAACCUGCCCUUGACUUUGGGAUAACUUCAGGAAACUGGGGCUAAUACCGGAUAGGAGCUCCUGCUGCAUGGUGGGGGUUGGAAAGUUUCGGUGGUUGGGGAUGGACUCGCGGCUUAUCAGCUUGUUGGUGGGGUAGUGGCUUACCAAGGCUGUGACGGGUAGCCGGCCUGAGAGGUUGACCGGCGACAUUGGGACUGAGAGAGGGCCCAGACUCGAACGGGAGGCAGCAGUGGGGAGUAUGGCGGAAUGGGCGGAAGCCGGAUGCAGAAACGCCGCGUGCGUGAUGACGGCCUGCGGGUUGUAAACCGCUGUCGCCUGUGACGAAGCGUGAGUGACGGUAAUGGGUAAAGAAGCACCGGCUAACUACGUG
rnacentral:rRNA from 1 species